GCCCGUCUAGCUCAGUCGGUAGAGCGCAAGGCUCUUAACCUUGUGGUCCUGGGUUCAAGUCCUAGGGUGGGUG
rfam:Ipomoea nil DNA, scaffold: scaffold3056, cultivar: Tokyo-kokei standard.